UUUAUUCGCUGCUGAUCUUUAUUCACUUGCCUAUAAACAACCCCAUCUCUCUGGUUAGCUCCUGUAAGGUUUUUCUCCAACAAAGAAGCAGAAUUUUAGGGGGAAAAAAAGAUGUGCAUUCACUCUUCAUCCAUCCCACGUAGUUCCCUGUGUUCUGGUUUUUGCCUUCCACGGUCGUCAAAGCCACAAAACCUUCGAGUUGGACGGCUUAGCAGGAAAAGAAGACUAUUAAUGAAAGAAGCAAAAGAGAAGAAAAGGCUGAGGAUAGCGAAGGCAGAGAUGGAAGUCAAGAACUUGAAAUUGUACCUGGAGAACCGAAGCAUCAUAGAAGAGAACGAGAAGCUGAGACGGCAAGCUGUGCUGCUUCAGCAAGAGAACCAGACCCUGUUAUUUCAGCUCCAGAAAAAGCUCCCUCAGGAGAAACAG